rnacentral:rRNA from 1 species
AGUAAUGUAUGGGGAUCUGCCCGAUAGAGGGGGAUAACUACUGGAAAACGGUGGUUAAUACCGCAUAAUGUCUACGGACCAAAGCAGGGGCUCUUCGGACCUUGCACUAUCGGAUGAACCCAUAUGGGAUUAGCUAGUAGGUGGGGUAAAGGCUCACCUAGGCGACGAUCUCUAGCUGGUCUGAGAGGAUGAUCAGCCACACUGGGACUGAGACACGGCCCAG